rnacentral:rRNA from 1 species
GAUGAACGCUGGCGGCGUGCCUAAUACAUGCAAGUCGAGCGAACGGACGAGAAGCUUGCUUCUCUGAUGUUAGCGGCGGACGGGUGAGUAACACGUGGAUAACCUACCUAUAAGACUGGGAUAACUUCGGGAAACCGGAGCUAAUACCGGAUAAUAUUUUGAACCGCAUGGUUCAAAAGUGAAAGACGGUCUUGCUGUCACUUAUAGAUGGAUCCGCGCUGCAUUAGCUAGUUGGUAAAGUAACGGCUUACCAAGGCAACGAUGCAUAGCCGACCUGAGAGGGUGAUCGGCCACACUGGAACGGAGACACGGUCCAGACUCCUACGGGAGGCAGCAGUAGGGAAUCUUCCGCAAUGGGCGAAAGCCUGACGGAGCAACGCCGCGUGAGUGAUGAAGGUCUUCGGAUCGUAAAACUCUGUUAUUAGGGAAGAACAUAUGUGUAAGUAACUGUGCACAUCUUGACGGUACCUAAUCAGAAAGCCACGGCUAACUACGUG